AUUGAACGCUGGCGGCAUGCCUUACACAUGCAAGUCGAACGGCAGCACGGGGGCAACCCUGGUGCGAGUGGCGAACGGGUGAGUAAUGCAUCGGAACGUGUCCCGUAGCGGGGGAUAACCAGUCGAAAGACUGGCUAAUACCGCAUACGCUCCACGGAGGAAAGCAGGGGAUCGCAAGACCUUGCACUAUGGGAGCGGCCGAUGCCCGAUUAGCUAGUUGGGAGGUAAAGGCUCACCAAGGCGACGAUCGGUAGCUGGUUUGAGAGAACGACCAGCCACACUGGGACUGAGACACGGCCCAGACUCC
rnacentral:rRNA from 1 species